rnacentral:rRNA from 1 species
AAAUUGAAGAGUUUGAUCAUGGCUCAGAUUGAACGCUGGCGGCAGGCCUAACACAUGCAAGUCGAGCGGUAGCACAGAGAGCUUGCUCUCGGGUGACGAGCGGCGGACGGGUGAGUAAUGUCUGGGAAACUGCCUGAUGGAGGGGAUAACUACUGGAAACGGUAGCUAAUACCGCAUAAUGUCGCAAGACCAAAGUGGGGACCUUCGGGCCUCAUGCCAUCAGAUGUGCCCAGAUGGGAUUAGCUAGUAGGUGGGGUAACGGCUCACCUAGGCGACGAUCCUAGCUGGUCUGAGAGGAUGACCAGCCACACUGGAACUGAGACACGGUCCAGACUCCUACGGGAGGCAGCAGUGGGGAAUAUUGCACAAUGGGCGCAAGCCUGAUGCAGCCAUGCCGCGUGUGUGAAGAAGGCCUUCGGGUUGUAAAGCACUUUCAGCGGGGAGGAAGGCGUUAAGGUUAAUAACCUUGGCGAUUGACGUUACCCGCAGAAGAAGCACCGGCUAACUCCGUGCCAGCAGCCGCGGUAAUACGGAGGGUGCAAGCGUUAAUCGGAAUUACUGGGCGUAAAGCGCACGCAGGCGGUCUGUCAAGUCGGAUGUGAAAUCCCGGGCUCAACCUGGGAACUGCAUUCGAAACUGGCAGGCUAGAGUCUUGUAGAGGGGUAGAAUUCCGGUGUAGCGGUGAAAUGCGUAGAGAUCUGGAGGAAUACCGGUGGCGAAGGCGGCCCCUGGACAAAGACUGACGCUCAGGUGCGAAAGCGUGGGGAGCAAACAGGAUUAGAUACCCUGGUAGUCCACGCCGUAAACGAUGUCGAUUUGGAGGUUGUGCCCUUGAGGCGUGGCUUCCGGAGCUAACGCGUUAAAUCGACCGCCUGGGGAGUACGGCCGCAAGGUUAAAACUCAAAUGAAUUGACGGGGCCCGCACAAGCGGUGGAGCAUGUGGUUUAAUUCGAUGCAACGCGAAGAACCUUACCUGGUCUUGACAUCCACAGAACUUUCCAGAGAUGGAUUGGUGCCUUCGGGAACUGUGAGACAGGUGCUGCAUGGCUGUCGUCAGCUCGUGUUGUGAAAUGUUGGGUUAAGUCCCGCAACGAGCGCAACCCUUAUCCUUUGUUGCCAGCGGUUAGGCCGGGAACUCAAAGGAGACUGCCAGUGAUAAACUGGAGGAAGGUGGGGAUGACGUCAAGUCAUCAUGGCCCUUACGACCAGGGCUACACACGUGCUACAAUGGCAUAUACAAAGAGAAGCGACCUCGCGAGAGCAAGCGGACCUCAUAAAGUAUGUCGUAGUCCGGAUUGAGUCUGCAACUCGACUCCAUGAAGUCGGAAUCGCUAGUAAUCGUAGAUCAGAAUGCUACGGUGAAUACGUUCCCGGGCCUUGUACACACCGCCCGUCACACCAUGGGAGUGGGUUGCAAAAGAAGUAGGUAGCUUAACCUUCGGGAGGGCGCUUACCACUUUGUGAUUCAUGACUGGGGUGAAGUCGUAACAAGGUAACCGUAGGGGAACCUGCGGUUGGAUCACCUCCUUA